GGCCCCCAUUACCCAGCAGUUGCCAGGAGAGUCAGAUGCAGAGUAUGCAGAGUUCUCUUCAAAGGUGUUGCACUUGAAAGGUGACAGGCAAGACUUUGAUUUCGUUAAGACAAGCCUUGCGGCAAAGGGCUUCGAUGUUGUUUACGACAUAAACGGGAGAGAAGCUGUUGAGGUAGCCCCAAUCCUAGACGCAUUGCCGAACCUUGAACAGUACAUCUACUGCUCAUCAGCAGGAGUGUACCUGAAAUCAGACCUGCUCCCGCACUUCGAGACCGACGCCGUCGACCCGAAGAGCCGGCACAAGGGGAAGCUGGAGACGGAGAG
rnacentral:misc_RNA from 1 species